AGCAGCCGCGGUAAUUCCAGCUCCAAUAGCGUAUAUUAAAGUUGUUGCAGUUAAAAAGCUCGUAGUUGAAUUUCGGGAUUGACACAUCGGUCGUGCCUUAAGGGGUAUGAACUGGUGUAGUCAAUUUCUCACCUUCUGGAGAACCGCGAUGCCCUUAAUUGGGUGUCACGGGGAACCAGGACCUUUACUUGAAAAAAUUAGAGUGUUUAAAGCAGGCAUUUUGCUUGAAUACAUUAGCAUGGAAUAAUAAAAUAGGACGGCAUGAUUCUAUUUUGUUGGUUUCUAGGAUCACCGUAAUGAUUAAUAGGGAUAGUUGGGGGCAUUAGUAUUCAAUUGUCAGAGGUGAAAUUCUUGGAUUUUAUUGAAGACUAACUACUGCGAAAGCAAUUUGCCAAGGAUGUUUUCAUUAAUCAAGAACGAAAGUUAGGGGAUCGAAGACGAUCAGAUACCGUCGUAGUCUUAACCGAUAAACUAUAGCCGACUAGGAAUCAGACGAUGUUAAUUUUUUAAUGUACUUCGU
rnacentral:rRNA from 1 species